CAUAUAGAACCGAUAGACAAAGCAAUAAGAAGCAGAAAUGAGAAAAACAGAGCGGUAACUCAUGAGACGACUGGCCUGGUUGUCAUAGUAUCAACACUGCCCACCUGACAAACCACACAUUACCAGCUGGAUGAUCGUACCAAAGUGGACGCCGAAUAUUUGGCAUGGCUACAGGAGCAAAUAUUUACUUGGGACCGGUGAUUUGACCUGAUUCUGCCCCAUUUACCGAGUCGGCCGGAUAUUGGGCAUGAUUAUAUGGGCUGGUACCGCGGCAUUACCCGACUUUUCAUUGGGAAUACCAUUCAUCGAGCUGGCGGUCGAUACGUCCCAUACGUCGGGAGGCACGAGGCACUGGCUAUUGGCCUACAUUUAUUCCACCGGUUGGGACUGUAGAUGCAUCAGCAUGCCGGUGAGGGAGCGACCAUUUUGCACGAGUAUGGCCAGCAGGUUACAAAUCUAGUUGCCCGGACACUACAACGAGCCCGAGAGAAUGAUCGCUUAGUGCACGUCCCUGAUUAUGUGGUUCCAGAGCAGUACCAUCGAGGUAGGCCUGUCCCACGAGGUAGGGGAGCACGAGGUAGGGUUUUCCCAUGAGGCAGGGCUGUCCCAUGGGGUCGUGGGGGCCGACAAGGAGGUGGUCCCCAGCAAGGGGGCGUUGAGGCACCUAUUGAGGAUGUUGGAGGUGAUCUGCUGGGUAACCUCCAUCAGCCAGACGAGCAUCACUGCAGCAUGCCGUCAUUCAGCCUUCAGUUGUCGUUCACUCCAACAGCAUCGCAGGUGACCCCGUCAGAUCCAUUGUUGAUCACGGUCAUGAGCAUUACCGGAGAUGAUUGGGAGAAGUACUUUUCAGGCCUAGCGACCAUUGCUGAGGAUCGGUCGACCAAAGAUAUGGAUGGUGGGCGCCGGCUGAGUUAUGGCUUAUCGUCGACGGGUGCUGGGGAUCUUUCACAGACGUAGGCUUCAUCCUAGCCCGUUACGGAGGCCACUUUGUGCGAUGUUGAGUAGGAUACGAGAUGCUUAUAUUUAGAAGACCGACGAGACCAUGGUUGCUGAUGGACCGAUAUCCCCUUCUACCGUUCCUACCAGCACUACUCACAAUCAUGCUACAGCGCAUCCUGCGAUAAAGAGGCAACGUGAUGAGGAUUAUCCUAAUAGCGUAUCCGGGCGGGAUGGGAUGCGCCUCAGGCCAGUUUGUGUUUGUUUGACAACGUGUUGCUUCAAGUGGUUCAAAAAUAGCAUCCACGUCUCUUGGCUUUCAUUGGCACAGAUGGCAAAGGCUAGUGGAAAUAUUUCUCCAUUGGCAUCUACUACAACUGCGAUCAACAACUUAAUAUCAUACUUUCCAUAGACAUGAGUACCGUCUUUGGAAAUUACCGGACGACAAUGCACAAAACCAUCAAUUGUUGGUUUAAAUGUGCAGAACACGUAUUUGAAUAUAUAUUUUGGUAAUUCUAAACUCCGCUCAAGCUUCCAUUCAACAACAGUCAUGGGGUUAAAGUGUUUCAAUGCGGCCAUGUACCUCGGUAGAGAUGCAAAUGACUUAUCCCAGUCACCAUAAUCAAUUUAAAAGGCACGCUUGCGCCCGAGAUAUGCCUUUCUUUUGGUAAUAGUACACCCACAUUCCUGGUGGAUGGAUGUAAUACACUUUUUGAUCUUGUACCUUAUGGACGCUUCAAUGUGUGGAAUGAGCUGAA